UUCCGGUUGAUCCUGCCGGAGAUCACCGCUAUUCGGGUCCGAUUAAGCCAUGCGAGUUUUUGGGUUAAACCAAAGCGAACUGCUGAGUAACGCGUAGCUAACCUGCCCUCGGGUGGGGGAUAACCUCGGGAAACUGAGGAUAAUACCCCAUAAGGAACUAUGCCUGGAAGGGUUUGUUCUUGAAAGAUUCGUCGCCCAAGGAUGGGGCUGCGUAGGAUUAGGUUGAUGUUAAGGUAAUGACUUAACAUGCCGAUAAUCCUUAGGGGCUGUGAGAGCAGUAGCCUCCAGAUGGGUUCUGAGACAUGAACCCAGGGCCUACGGGUCGCAGCAGGCGCGGAACCUUCGCAAUGCGCGCAAGCGUGACGAGGGGACCUGAAGUGCCAGCACACAGUGUUGGCUUUUUAUCAGUCCAAAUAGCUGGUAGAAUAAGUGGUGGGUAAUACCGUUGCCAGCCAGCCCUUUCUUUAAUUCGCCAACAAUUGAUUUGAUGGCUCAUUAAAGAAAGCGCUGGCGGAAAGAAAGAUCUGAAGCAGUUGGUUACUAACCAUCUUUUCCAAUUUGCUCAGACGACCGCCAGCCGCUUCUACGAUUAAAUUUCGGAGGGGGCCCUGGAAGCCGCGGUAAUAACGGAGCCACAAGUGGUGAUCACGUUUAUUGGGUCUAAAGCAUCCGUAGCCGGUGCGUUAAGUCCUUUGUGAAAUCUUGCAGAAAACUGCAAGGCGUGCAAGGGAUGCUGGCGCGCUUGAGACCGGGAUGGGUUGGAGGUACUUCAGGGGUAGCGGUGGAAUGUUGUAAUCCCUGAGGGACCACCUGUGGCGGGGCCCACCUAACAACACAAAGAAGGGCCACACAUAAGGCGUCCAACUGGAACGGUUCUGACGGUGAGGAAUGAAAGCGUGGGGAGCAAAGGGGAUUAGAUACCCCCGUAGUCCACGCUGUAAACGAUGCCCGUUGGAUAUUAGGGGUUCUUCGCGAACUCCUAGUGUCGUAGGGAAGCCGUUAAACGGGCCACCUGGGAAGUACGGUCGCAAGGCUGAAACUUAAAGGAAUUGGCGGGGGAACACACAAGGGGUGCAGUCUGCGGUUCAAUUGGAUUCAACGCCGGGAAACUCACCAGGGGUGACAGCAUGAUGAUGGUCAGUCUGAAGGGCUUACCUGAAGCGCUGAGAGGUAUUGCAUGGCCGUCGCCAGCUCGUGCUGUGAGGUGUCCUGUCAAGUCAGGUAACGAGCGAGACCCAUGCCGUAUGUUGCAACACGCCUCUCCGGAGGCAUGGCACUCAUACGGGAUUGCCCGUGCUAAAUGGGAUGAAAGCGUGGUCAACGGUAGGUCAGUAUGGUCCGAAUCCCCAUGGGCUACACGCGGGCGACAAUGGGCGGGACAAUGGGAUGCAACGCCGAAAGGCGGAGCUAAUCCCCCAAACCCGCUCCCAGUAUAGAUUGUGGGUUGUAACUCACCCACAUGACAUCGGAAUCCCUAGUAACCGAAGUUUAGCACACUUCGGCGAAUACGUCCCUGUUCCUUGCACACACCGCCCGUC
rnacentral:rRNA from 1 species